rnacentral:rRNA from 1 species
GAUGAAGCUUGGGUGAUACCAAGUGGAGGUCCGAACCGACUGAAGUUGAAAAUUCAGCGGAUGAGCUGUGGUUAGGGGUGAAAUGCCAAUCGAACCAGGAGCUAGCUGGUUCUCCCCGAAAUACGUUGAGGGAUAGCGUCUAGUGCUCCAGCAGGGGGGUAAAGCAACCAUUUCGGUGCGGGCUGCGAAAGCGGUACCAAAUCGAUAUGAACUCUGAAUACCCUGUGUGUAACUAGGCAGUCAGACUGUGGGGGAUAAGCUCCAUAGUCAAGAGGGAAACAGCCCAGACCGCCAGCUAAGGUCCCAAAAUUAACGCUAAGUGAUAAAGGAGGUGGGAUUGCCCAGACAACCAGGAGGUUUGCCUAGAAGCAGCCAUCCUCAAAGGAGUGCGUAAUAGCUCACUGGUCGAGCGAUCCUGCGCCGAAAAUGAACGGGGCUAAGCGUUAUACCGAAGCUGCGGAUAAAUUUAUUUAUGGUAGGGGAGCGUUCUAUGUAGGGUGAAGCGUUAGCGUAAGCGGACGUGGACAGCAUAGAAGUGAGAAUGUCGGCUUGAGUAGCGAAAACAUGGGUGAGAAUCCCAUGCCCCGAAACCCUAAGGGUUCCUCCGGCAGGCUCGUCCGCGGAGGGUUAGUCUGGACCUAAGGCGAGGCCGAAAGGCGUAGUCGAUGGAUAACAGGUCAAUAUUCCUGUACCAGAUGUGUUUUGAGAAGGGGGACGGAGAAGGCUAACCAGGCCAGAUGUUGGUUACUGGUUCAAGCGUUCGAGGCUUUGAGAGAUGGAGAAAACAUCUUGAGCUAAGGCGUGAGUACGAGCUGCUACGGCAGCGAAGUUGGUGAUGUCAUGCUUCCAAGAAAAGCCCUAUACUCGUUAAGACACAAAUGCCAGUACCCGAAACCGACACAGGUGGGGUGGUAGAGAAUACCGAGGGGCGCGAGAUAACUCUCUCUAAGGAACUCGGCAAAAUGGCCCCGUAACUUCGGGAGAAGGGGUGCCAGCGAGAGCUGGUCGCAGUGAAGAGGCGCAAGCGACUGUUUACCAAAAACACAGGUCUCCGCUAAGUCGCAAGACGAUGUAUGGGGGCUGACACCUGCCCAGUGCCGGAAGGUUAAGGAAGCUGGUUAGCUUUUAGUGAAGCUGGCGACUGAAGCCCCGGUGAACGGCGGCCGUAACUAUAACGGUCCUAAGGUAGCGAAAUUCCUUGUCGGGUAAGUUCCGACCCGCACGAAAGGUGUAACGAUUUGCGCGCUGUCUCGGAGAGAGGCUCGGCGAAAUAGAAUUGUCUGUGAAGAUGCGGACUACAUACACCCGGACAGAAAGACCCUAUGAAGCUUUACUGUAGUUUGAUAUUGUGCUCGGGCUCUGAAUGCGCAGAAUAGGUGGGAGACGUUGAAAUAGUGCUUGUGGGUACUAUUGAGUCAUCGGUGAGAUACCACUCUUUUAGAGCUAGGGUUCUAACGCUUACCCGUUAUCCGGGAAGCGGACAGUAUCUGAUGGGCAGUUUGACUGGGGCGGUCGCCUCCUAAAAGGUAACGGAGGCGCACAAAGGUUCCCUCAGGCUGGUUGGAAAUCAGUCGUUGAGUGCAAAAGCAGAAGGGAGCUUGACUGUGAGACCUACAAGUCGAACAGGGACGAAAGUCGGUUUUAGUGAUCCGACGGUUCUGCGUGGAAGGGCCGUCGCUCAACGGAUAAAAGUUACUCUAGGGAUAACAGGCUGAUCUCCCCCAAGAGUUCACAUCGACGGGGAGGUUUGGCACCUCGAUGUCGGCUCAUCGCAACCUGGGGCUGAAGUCGGUCCCAAGGGUUGGGCUGUUCGCCCAUUAAAGCGGUACGCGAGCUGGGUUCAGAACGUCGUGAGACAGUUCGGUCCAUAUCCGGUGUAUGCGCAGGAAUAUUGAGAGGAUUUCUCCCUAGUACGAGAGGACCGGGAGGAACGCACCUCUGGUGUGCCUGUUAUCGUGCCAACGGUAAACGCUGGGUAGCCAUGUGCGGAGUGGAUAACCGCUGAAAGCAUCUAAGUGGGAAGCCCACCUCAAGAUGAGUAUUGCCAUGGCUUAAGCCAGUAAGGUCACGGGAAGAACACCCGUUGAUAGGCUCUACGUGGAAGCUUGGUAACAAGUGCAGCGGAGGAGUACUAAUAGACCGAGGGCUUGACCAA